GUGAAGAGAGGGAAAGCCACCGUGAUUCUGACAAAGGACCCACACAUCAGGUCAAAGGCUUCUGCCUAAUCUGUGUAGCAGAGAUUUCCUCGGCCACAGCUACCUGGGGGUAUGAACAGACAGGUGCAAGCUCUUAUUCUUUCUCCUUGAUUGCCCUGGAUCCUCCUCUUCUCUGCAUUAAGGAUCUCCUCAAGAUUGCAGGCCCUUUACAAUCUUGCCUCUAGAGGAGACCAAUAGACUCUUUCCUUCCAUGCAUAAAAAUCACUCCCUGUUACAACCUUCCCCUUAUCUUCCAGAAGAAACCUACACUUGAAUUUCUGUUAGCUACUCAAAGCGUGCCCCUUGAAUCAGCCAUGUCAGAAUCACCUGGAAACUUCUUGGAACUGCAGAAAGUUGGGACUUGUCCCAAAACUACUGAAUCAGUCUGCAUUCCAACAGGAUGACCUGGCAAGUUCAUUAAUCUGAAACGCAUUGCUUUGAGCAGUUGCAAAUUGAACUCGUAGCCUUUCUGCUCUCGACAGCUAAAUAAAUAUUUCUUCACAAUCGUC